rnacentral:rRNA from 1 species
GGAUGAACGCUGGCGGCGUGCCUAAUACAUGCAAGUCGAGCGAACAGACAAGGAGCUUGCUCCUUUGACGUUAGCGGCGGACGGGUGAGUAACACGUGGGUAACCUACCUAUAAGACUGGGAUAACUUCGGGAAACCGGAGCUAAUACCGGAUAAUAUUUCGAACCGCAUGGUUCGAUAGUGAAAGAUGGUUUUGCUAUCACUUAUAGAUGGACCCGCGCCGUAUUAGCUAGUUGGUAAGGUAACGGCUUACCAAGGCGACGAUACGUAGCCGACCUGAGAGGGUGAUCGGCCACACUGGAACUGAGACACGGUCCAGACUCCUACGGGAGGCAGCAGUAGGGAAUCUUCCGCAAUGGGCGAAAGCCUGACGGAGCAACGCCGCGUGAGUGAUGAAGGUCUUCGGAUCGUAAAACUCUGUUAUUAGGGAAGAACAUACGUGUAAGUAACUAUGCACGUCUUGACGGUACCUAAUCAGAAAGCCACGGCUAACUACGUGCCAGCAGCCGCGGUAAUACGUAGGUGGCAAGCGUUAUCCGGAAUUAUUGGGCGUAAAGCGCGCGUAGGCGGUUUUUUAAGUCUGAUGUGAAAGCCCACGGCUCAACCGUGGAGGGUCAUUGGAAACUGGAAAACUUGAGUGCAGAAGAGGAAGUGGAAUUCCAUGUGUAGCGGUGAAAUGCGCAGAGAUAUGGAGGAACACCAGUGGCGAAGGGCGACUUUCUGGUCUGUAACUGACGCUGAUGUGCGAAAGCGUGGGGAUCAAACAGGAUUAGAUACCCUGGUAGUCCACGCCGUAAACGAUGAGUGCUAAGUGUUAGGGGGUUUCCGCCCCUUAGUGCUGCAGCUAACGCAUUAAGCACUCCGCCUGGGGAGUACGACCGCAAGGUUGAAACUCAAAGGAAUUGACGGGGACCCGCACAAGCGGUGGAGCAUGUGGUUUAAUUCGAAGCAACGCGAAGAACCUUACCAAAUCUUGACAUCCUUUGACAACUCUAGAGAUAGAGCCUUCCCCUUCGGGGGACAAAGUGACAGGUGGUGCAUGGUUGUCGUCAGCUCGUGUCGUGAGAUGUUGGGUUAAGUCCCGCAACGAGCGCAACCCUUAAGCUUAGUUGCCAUCAUUAAGUUGGGCACUCUAAGUUGACUGCCGGUGACAAACCGGAGGAAGGUGGGGAUGACGUCAAAUCAUCAUGCCCCUUAUGAUUUGGGCUACACACGUGCUACAAUGGACAAUACAAAGGGCAGCGAAACCGCGAGGUCAAGCAAAUCCCAUAAAGUUGUUCUCAGUUCGGAUUGUAGUCUGCAACUCGACUACAUGAAGCUGGAAUCGCUAGUAAUCGUAGAUCAGCAUGCUACGGUGAAUACGUUCCCGGGUCUUG